rnacentral:rRNA from 1 species
AGAGUUUGAUCAUGGCUCAGAACGAACGUUGGCGGCGUGGAUUAGGCAUGCAAGUCGGGGGAAUCCCAGCAAUGGGGGAACCGGCGUAAGGGGCAGUAAUGCGUGGGUACCUACCCCGGGGUUCGGUAUAGCCUCUCGAGAGAGAGGGUAAUCCCGGAUGACGUCGCGAGACCAAAGAUUCAUCGCCCCGGGAGGGGCCCACGUGAUAUUAGCUAGUUGGUGGGGUAACGGCCCACCAAGGCGAAGAUGUCUAGCGGGUGUGAGAGCACGACCCGCGCCACUGGCACUGAGACACUGGCCAGACACCUACGGGUGGCUGCAGUCGAGGAUCUUCGGCAAUGGGCGCAAGCCUGACCGAGCGACGCCGCGUGUGCGACGAAGGCCUUCGGGUUGUAAAGCACUGUCGAGGGGGAGAAAAGCCAAAAGCUUGAUCUAUCCCUGGAGGAAGCACGGGCUAAGUUCGUGCCAGCCGCCGCGGUAAUAC